rnacentral:lncRNA from 1 species
CAAUGGUACAGUAUUACAGGACUGUAUAGAACUCCAAGGAUGAGACCAGCUAUCCAUGUAGAGAUGGUGUAAUUUGCUUCCUGCUGUUUUCAGGGUUGUCUUCAUCCUGAGAUCUCUGAUAGAUAAACUGAACAAAGAGAACAAAAAUUGAUUGACUAUAUGUGACUUUGGGAAUACUUGCAAUGGGCUAAGAAUGUCCAUUUAAACAUGCCUGUAUAAGCAGAUAUAGGCAGUUAUGUACUAGCUCUUCCAACAUUCUGGACUGGCCAGUCACAAGUCAUCUCUGGACCAGAUGGUGCUCUGAAGAGAAUAUGAAUGACUUGCUUGGACAUCACACAGGAAAACUGAAGAAAAACUGUUUUAUCUCCUAAAGUGUGGGCUAACACAAUGACCGUUAAACAACUCUCUCUCUUCUUUACUUGACAUUUUGGUGUACAAUUAUGAAACUUGGUAUUUGUGUCCUGCUAAGCUAUGUUUUUGCCUGCAAUCACUGGAACAGUACUGAAGUGGGUUGGUGACUCUUUGCCUUCAGGAAGGUAGAGGAGUAAAAUGCUUCUAAUUAAAAUAGAAUCAUUAAGGUUGGAAAAGAUCUCCAAAAUCA